ensembl:lncRNA
AUAGUUUCAGGUUUAUUGCAGGCACGGCGGGUCGGUUAUGAAGCAACACACUGAUACAUCGUGUGUAUCGUAUCACGUGUACGUCAUCGAUAUCACACUGUGCAAACUGUAGAACACACACAUGGAUAUUUGGUGAGGAAGAGGAGGAAGAGAAGGAGCUUCACUGACCUCACUGUUAAAACGGGCCGACACCGGAGCCUCUCUCCACCCGAUACGCAUCUGUGUACAUGUACUGGGUAUAAAUACGCGUACCGGGUACAGAUGCUGUGUGAACUAAGACGGCCUGAGGUCACGGGUUUGAUUCCCGGUUCACUGGUUUCCCAUUUUAACCAGUGGUUCACAAACCUUUGGCCAAAGCAUAAGAGACUUUUCUACUUUCCUCAAAAAUACUCAUUUUUCAAAUCUAACCUUUGACCUUCAAGGCUUUGUCCUUGUUUGCGUUUGGGGGAUGAUGAAACACUGAGUUCUCACAAUGAGGUAAACAAAUGUGGGCAACAGAACAUUUUUAUCAUAUAUUUUGACAAAUUGGUGGAUGUAUUGAAUUUACUCUGAUACUGAACUAAAGAUACCCUUUCACAAUAAAGCAGCAUUUAACUUGUAUAAAUGUAUAAAAGCCACACACACCCGUAUGAAAACAUGUCGGACGAUGAAUCAAACGCACCUCAUUGAGCUCAGAUUGAUGUGUCACCGGGUUUGUUUCAUUUCAACGCCCUCUGGUUUGACCCCCCCCUUUCUAAAAACACUCCCUGCGGGUGCUAAUUUUAAAGUGCUGCUCCUCACAUGCAAGAUGACAUCGUCAGGCUCCACUUCCCCAAAUGAGACGCAUCGCCGCUUAGAUGCUGCCAGCGUUUCCCCUCCGGUGAUCCGUUUACACACAAAGAACUCUGAACUUCCUGCAGACGGAAAGUGAGUAGAGACCUCAGGACGAGGCUGCGUGUUCAGCAGAGACGCUCAUAGUUAUUACUGCAUUCGUCACCGAGGGGAUGUACACAGCUCGCUGUGUGCAGACGUAUCGGCACAAAACCACAAGGAGGCACUCGUAGUAGCCGUGAGGUACUCAGAUAUACUCGUAGUAGCCGUGAGGUACUCAGAUAUACUCGUAGUAGCCGUGAGGUACUCAGAUAUACUUGUAGUAGCCGUGAGGUACUCAGAUAUACUCGUAGUAGCCGUGAGGUACUCAGAUAUACUCGUAGUAGCCGUGAGGUACUCAGAUAUACUCGUAGUAGUUGUGAGGUACUCAGCAGGUAGUUAUGUUUCCAUUAGGCAAAUGAACAGUAACAGUGAACAAGCUGCUUUCUGCUUAGCGUGGGCACAGAGCGGGGGGGGGUUCGAGAGGGCAACUACCCAGUGGGGGUAUUAAGCAACAGGUACCCGGAGUCUGAGGGGUUUGCUGCAGUAGAAUGAGCGUUUCUUACAGUCCAAUAACUUAUUUGACUAAACACGAGGAGGGAAUCUCAGCAGCAAAGUUCACAAAGUCUUUCGUUUUUUUCUCCUCUUCAGCCAAUCAGCGAUCGUAGCGCCGCCACCAUCGCGAGCCCCGCGCUCAGCCCCGCCCACGAGGGUCCGGUGUUGGCCCCGCCUCCGUCCAGGCGCAGAGUGUUGUUGCAGGGUGGGGUUAGGUUUGCCGAGGUGGGGCGGAGCGGGACCCCGCCGGCGGUGGCGGGGACGCGGCGUAACAGGAAGUCGUGUUUCAUGGCAGAGUAGCGAUCGGGGCCGUACGGCACGCUCAGCGUCUCCGUCAAAACCUCGUGACCCGGGUACGUCACCUGUCAAUCAGAAGAGUCGGACUGUGACACACUGCACGGCGGUACCGCUGCAGAAACACCAGUUAUUGCUACUAUGCUAAGCUAGUUAGCU